rnacentral:rRNA from 1 species
UACGUAGGUGGCAAGCGUUAUCCGGAAUUAUUGGGCGUAAAGCGCGCGCAGGCGGUCCUUUAAGUCUGAUGUGAAAGCCCACGGCUCAACCGUGGAGGGUCAUUGGAAACUGGGGGACCUGAGUGCAGAAGAGGAGAGCGGAAUUCCACGUGUAGCGGUGAAAUGCGUAGAGAUGUGGAGGAACACCAGUGGCGAAGGCGGCUCUCUGGUCUGUAACUGACGCUGAGGCGCGAAAGCGUGGGGAGCGAACAGG